rnacentral:lncRNA from 1 species
CUUUUAUUACAUUCUAGGAAAAGAGCAGGAAAAGAAAUAUAAAAUGCUCAAAGUUAUCUAUACUAUAUAUUAGACUGGAUAUUAUAUCCUGUCUUUAAUGUUGCGGAAAAAACCCAAACGGUCUGAAUUACUAUCAUUUUUUAAGAAUUAGAAACACGAUCUGAGAUGUUUUUAUGCUGGGCUGCUUUUUAGCUGGGUUGCUUCUGAGGAAUUAAAAGAGCUGAAAAUCUCAUAUUUUGCAUUGCAUAAUCAAUGGUUCAGUGACUGACCAAAUACCCAUAAUUCGGUUCCAUUCAUAAGAUUAUGCCAUACACGGUCAGGUGGCAUUUGUCCAGAAGCUGACAUGUCCUUUCGUUGCUAAAAUCCUUGGUUUGGAAUGGAAUGGAGUCAGGUACAGGAAGGAAAUGAUUAUGGAAACUUAAGAAUUUGAGACCUCAGCUAUCUUCAGACACAACAAAACAUUUCCUCCUGUUAUCGGCAGCCAUAAAAAUGUAGAGAGAUGUUUCAACCCAGGUACCCAAGUGCAGGCAAAGCUCCAUCUGAGAAUGCCUUGGGUUCCAGAAGGUUCACGUUCACAGCAUGAACGUCGGAGAUUGGCUGUUGAGAAGACACUGGCUGGUUUGGACCUCUGUCCACCGCCCAAACUGCUGACCCAGUGAUCUUGUUGCAGAUGGUGACAUUCUUCCCUUCUUCUAAGGAUAAGUAUUUUUAAGCCCCUGGUAACAGAUAAAACAAAAAGGGAAGCAUUAUGGCAUAAACCAGUUAGUGAUUUUAAUUAGAGACAGACCUCCUCUUUUAAAUACUUUUUAUAUCCCCCGGGUAGUGCAUGUAUUUAAUACAUAAGUAUUUAAUACAUAAUAAAGUGCUACUUAAACCUUUUCUUUGAUUUAGCUGCAAUUACACAAAUAUUUAGAAUACCAGCAAUGAGUAACUUUGCAGAACCAAGACAGGAUAUGCUGCAUUAAUAACCAAAUGUUAAAUAAGUUGCUAAAAAGGCUGGCAAUGGCUGUAGUGGCUUGGAUGAGGUGGAGGCUGCAUGGCUGACUGGGCUUUUCUUGGAGUCAAUAAUAGAUCUUCCUACAUCCCCAUAUAUUUAGAAUUCAAUUCUAGAUCACUCAAUUCAAUAUCAUCUUCUUUCCAAAAU